AGCAGGAAACUGGGGCAGAGAUAAUGAUAAACCCAGAAAAGCCACCAAGGACAUUUGCUGAUAGGCUGGGGUGUCCUGUUGGACAGGAACAGUUGCACAGAUCACGAACCCCCAACAAGGCUACUCAGUGUCUGUGAUGGAUCCAGAUGACACAAGACAUAGUAUGUGAACACAGACAAUGUGGACAUGGCCCAACUCCAGCAUUAACCAAACACCCCCACCCUGGCUGACAUGAGCGACUGCUCCUUUGAAUUCAAAGUAAAAGCAAAAAUCAGCCAUGGAUCUAAACUUCUUCCCUCCUUCUCACCUUCUAGGCAAGAGCAAUGAAGAUACCCAACUGUAGGAUCACCCGCUUCUUCACAGCAUCCAAUCCAGGGCCAAAGCUGGCCUCCUGGAGUCUUCUCCCAAGACACAUGACCAAACCCAAAUCCUCAAUAAGCACUGGGAUGCCCUCGGGUUCCCCAUGACCUGGGUUUGCUGUUGUUGUCUCAAACCAGUAACUUGGUUCCACCACCAGGAUGGCCCUGGUGGUCUUUGAAGAGCAAAAACUGACUCUGUGGGUAGGAGGUCUCUGCAGUUAUGGGACCCCGGACUUAGAAAACCCUGCUCCUUCAACCGCUGCUGCCAUAUUGAAAUUCUGAAUUGCUUUUGGAUGAGGGGCUCCCUAUGUUCAUGCUUUGGUAGGUCCCACAAAUUUCAUAGCCUGUUCUGCGGAAGGGCAUGGAUAGCAGCUAAUGUCACAGCCACUGCGGUCAAUGGGAGAAGCGGUGUAUUCAGGACCCUUUGGCCAGAUCUGCAGGAGGGGCUGGUACUUUGGAUCUAUGUAGGAGAAUCCUGGGAAGGGGGAGAUAACUUUUAAAAUCGAAUCGGGAGUGCUCUUCAUCCAGAUGGGACAUCCUGGGGGAGGUGUCAAGUACAACCACUUUGGAGUGGGUGGACAGGAGCCAAGAGUCUCCGUCUGGUGCAAAGAUACUUCUUCUCAAACAUGAUGAAGUGGGGAUGGGAUGUUACAAUAAUAAAAUCGGUGACCUAAUAUCGUACUACGGUUUUGCAACCUGUCACCGUUAGCGGGGCAACCAGGCCUGGGCUCGUGAGAGCUCUAGGAGUUAUUUCUUACAACUGGAUGUGAAUCUACAAUCAUCUCAAAAUGAAAAGUUUAAUUAAAAAAAAUUGGUGACCCAGAAAAUCAGGAUGUGAAUGGGACUUUGGCAGCUCGGGGCAGGUGUUACUGAUGCGUUAUUCAUCAGUUCUCAAAUCUGCAAGGAGUUUGGGGGCAGUUCACGCAAGCAGUGCAGCCCAGGGAAGGGGCUGUGCGUUGUGUCAGGGGGGGCAGGGGCAGCAUCGGUGGCA
rnacentral:lncRNA from 1 species